rnacentral:rRNA from 1 species
UACGGGGGGGCAAGCGUUGUUCGGAAUUCCUGGGCGUAAAGGGCUCGUAGGUGGCCAACUAAGUCGGACGUGAAAUCCCUCGGCUUAACCGGGGAACUGCGUCUGAUACUGGACGGCUUGAGUUUGGGAGAGGGACGCGGAAUUCCAGGUGUAGCGGUGAAAUGCGUAGAUAUCUGGAGGAACACCGGUGGCGAAGGCGGCAUCCUGGACCGACACUGACACUGAGGAGCGAAAGCCAGGGGAGCAAACGGG